GCUGAUGCGUUGUUGGGUAGGGGAGCGUUCUGUAAGCCUGCGAAGGUGACCUGUGAGGGUUGCUGGAGGUAUCAGAAGUGCGAAUGCUGACAUAAGUAACGAUAAAGCGGGUGAAAAGCCCGCUCGCCGGAAGACCAAGGGUUCCUGUCCAACGUUAAUCGGGGCAGGGUGAGUCGACCCCUAAGGCGAGGCCGAAAGGCGUAGUCGAUGGGAAACGGGUUAAUAUUCCCGUACUUGGUGUUACUGCGAAGGGGGGACGGAGAAGGCUAUGUUGGCCGGGCGACGGUUGUCCCGGUUUAAGCGUGUAGGUGUGUGUUCCAGGUAAAUCCGGUUCACUUUAACACUGAGGCGUGAUGACGAGGCACUACGGUGCUGAAGCAACAAAUGCCCUGCUUCCAGGAAAAGCCUCUAAGCAUCAGGUAACAUCAAAUCGUACCCCAAACCGACACAGGUGGUCAGGUAGAGAAUACCAAGGCGCUUGAGAGAACUCGGGUGAAGGAACUAGGCAAAAUGGUGCCGUAACUUCGGGAGAAGGCACGCUGACACGUAGGUGAAGUGAUUUACUCACGGAGCUGAAGUCAGUCGAAGAUACCAGCUGGCUGCAACUGUUUAUUAAAAACACAGCACUGUGCAAACACGAAAGUGGACGUAUACGGUGUGACGCCUGCCCGGUGCCGGAAGGUUAAUUGAUGGGGUCAGCGCAAGCGAAGCUCCUGAUCGAAGCCCCGGUAAACGGCGGCCGUAACUAUAACGGUCCUAAGGUAGCGAAAUUCCUUGUCGGGUAAGUUCCGACCUGCACGAAUGGCGUAAUGAUGGCCAGGCUGUCUCCACCCGAGACUCAGUGAAAUUGAACUCGCUGUGAAGAUGCAGUGUACCCGCGGCAAGACGGAAAGACCCCGUGAACCUUUACUAUAGCUUGACACUGAACAUUGAGCCUUGAUGUGUAGGAUAGGUGGGAGGCUUUGAAGUGUGGACGCCAGUCUGCAUGGAGCCGACCUUGAAAUACCACCCUUUAAUGUUUGAUGUUCUAACGUGGACCCGUAAUCCGGGUUGCGGACAGUGUCUGGUGGGUAGUUUGACUGGGGCGGUCUCCUCCUAAAGAGUAACGGAGGAGCACGAAGGUUGGCUAAUCCUGGUCGGACAUCAGGAGGUUAGUGCAAUGGCAUAAGCCAGCUUGACUGCGAGCGUGACGGCGCGAGCAGGUGCGAAAGCAGGUCAUAGUGAUCCGGUGGUUCUGAAUGGAAGGGCCAUCGCUCAACGGAUAAAAGGUACUCCGGGGAUAACAGGCUGAUACCGCCCAAGAGUUCAUAUCGACGGCGGUGUUUGGCACCUCGAUGUCGGCUCAUCACAUCCUGGGGCUGAAGUAGGUCCCAAGGGUAUGGCUGUUCGCCAUUUAAAGUGGUACGCGAGCUGGGUUUAGAACGUCGUGAGACAGUUCGGUCCCUAUCUGCCGUGGGCGCUGGAGAACUGAGGGGGGCUGCUCCUAGUACGAGAGGACCGGAGUGGACGCAUCACUGGUGUUCGGGUUGUCAUGCCAAUGGCACUGCCCGGUAGCUAAAUGCGGAAGAGAUAAGUGCUGAAAGCAUCUAAGCACGAAACUUGCCCCGAGAUGAGUUCUCCCUGAGACUUAGAGUCUCCUGAAGGAACGUUGAAGACG
rnacentral:rRNA from 1 species